rnacentral:rRNA from 1 species
ACGGAAGGCAGCAGUGAGGAAUAUUGGUCAAUGGACGGAAGUCUGAACCAGCCAUGCCGCGUGCAGGAAUAAGGCCCUAUGGGUCGUAAACUGCUUUUGUAGUGGAGCAAUAAGGUGUACGCGUACAUCGAUGAGAGUACAUUACGAAUAAGCAUCGGCUAACUCCGUGCCAGCAGCCGCGGUAAUACGGAGGAUGCAAGCGUUAUCCGGAUUUAUUGGGUUUAAAGGGUGCGUAGGCUGUUUGUCAAGUCAGGGGUGAAAUCCCGGGGCUCAACUCCGGAAUUGCCUUUGAUACUGGCAGGCUUGAAUACUGUUGCCGUGGGAGGAAUGAGUAGUGUAGCGGUGAAAUGCAUAGAUAUUACUCAGAACACCGAUUGCGAAGGCAUCUCACGAAUCCGUCAUUGACGCUGAGGCACGAAAGCGUGGGGAUCAAACAGGAUUAGAUACCCUGGUA